GAUUACAAAAAAUGUGUUGGUUUACCAGUGAAACCUCGGCAAGGUGAUGGAAUUCUAUUUUACUCACUGUUUCCAAAUGGCACAAUUGAUCAGGAAAGUCUCUAUAUCAGAUCAACCUAUACAUCUCUUUCCUUGUUUCCUGACUGCUUGAAGUAAAGAAGUGAAAAUGGUUUAGAAAGAAAUGAUGGCAUCUGACUUGGAGAAACGAAAUGUAACGCA
rnacentral:misc_RNA from 1 species